UACAGAGGGUGCGAGCGUUAAUCGGAAUUACUGGGCGUAAAGCGUGCGUAGGCGGAUAAUUAAGUCAGAUGUGAAAGCCCUGGGCUUAACCUAGGAAUUGCAUCUGAUACUGGUUAUCUGGAGUAUGGUAGAGGAUGGCGGAAUUUCCGGUGUAGCGGUGAAAUGCGUAGAUAUCGGAAGGAACACCAGUGGCGAAGGCGGCCAUCUGGGCCAAUACUGACGCUGAGGCACGAAAGCGUGGGGAGCAAACAGG
rnacentral:rRNA from 1 species